UACCAGCACCCCGAGUGGUCGGGACGUUUUAUUGGGCCUAAAAGCAUCCGUAGCCGGUUCUACAAGUCUUCCGUUAAAUCCACCUGCUCAACAGAUGGGCUGCGGAAGAUACUAUGGAGCUAGGAGGCGGGGAGAGGCAAGCGGUACUCGAUGGGUAGGGGUAAAAUCCGUUGAUCCAUUGAAGACCACCAGUGGCGAAGGCGGCUUGCCAGAACGCGCUCGACGGUGAGGGAUGAAAGCUGGGGGAGCAAACCGG
rnacentral:rRNA from 1 species